rnacentral:rRNA from 1 species
CCUACGGGUGGCAGCAGUGGGGAAUAUUGUACAAUGGGGGAAACCCUGAUGCAGCGACGUCGCGUGAGUGAUGAAGUAUCUCGGUAUGUAAAGCUCUAUCAGCAGGGAAGAAAAUGACGGUACCUGACUAAGAAGCCCCGGCUAACUACGUGCCAGCAGCCGAGGUAAUACGUAGGGAGCAAGCGUUAUCCGGAUUUACUGGGUGUAAGGGGUGCGUAGACGGAGGUGCAAGCCAGAGGGGAAAGCCUGGGCUCAACCCCGGGACUGCAGUUGGAACUGUGCUGCUAGAGUGUCGGAGAGGCAGGCGGAAUUCCUAGUGUAGCGGUGAAAUGCGUAGAUAUUAGGAGGAACACCAGUGGCGAAGGCGGCCUGCUGGACGAUGACUGACGUUGAGGCUCGAAAGCGUGGGGAGCGAACAGGAUUAGAUACCCUUGUAGUC